UCUUGACCAAAUUACGUGCCAGCAGUCGCGGUAACACGCAGAAGACAAGUGUUAUUCAUCUUUAUUCGGUUUAAAGGGUACCUAGACGGGAAAUAAAGCCAAGUAGGGACUAAUUUUCUAGAGUUUUAUGGGAGAAAGUCGAACAUCUGGAGUAGAGAUAAAAUAUUGUGAUACCAGAUGGACGGGUAACGGCGUAGGCAACUUUCUAUGUAAAAACUGACGUUGAGGGACGAAGCCCUGGGUAACGAUAAGGAUUAGAUACCCCAGUAGUCCAGGGAGACAAUGAUGAGUGCCAUAGGCUAGGUAAAUUAGUCUAUAAAUGAAAGUGCAAGCAUUCCACCUCAAGACUAAAGCGGCAACGCCCAAAUUGAAAUCAUUAGACCGUUUCUGAAACCAGUAGUGAAGUAUGUUAUUUAAUUCGAUAAUCCGCGAAUAACCUUACCACGUUUUGAAUAUCUUUUGGGGGAUCACAUAUUUAUGUUUAACCUUAAAUUUUACAAGCGCUGCACGGCUGUCUUUAGUUAAUGUCGUGAGACUUUGGUUAACUCCUUUAAUUAACGAAAACCCUUGUUU
rnacentral:rRNA from 1 species